rnacentral:rRNA from 1 species
UAGGGAAUCUUCCACAAUGGGCGCAAGCCUGAUGGAGCAACACCGCGUGAGUGAAGAAGGGUUUCGGCUCGUAAAGCUCUGUUGUUAAAGAAGAACACGUAUGAGAGUAACUGUUCAUAUGUUGACGGUAUUUAACCAAAAAGUCACGGCUAACUACGUGCCAU